rnacentral:rRNA from 1 species
CGUCCAGACUCCUACGGGAGGCAGCAGUGAGGAAUAUUGGUCAAUGGGCGCGAGCCUGAACCAGCCAAGUAGCGUGAAGGAUGACUGCCCUACGGGUUGUAAACUUCUUUUAUAAAGGAAUAAGGUGAGGCACGUGUGCCUUUUUGUAUGUACUUUAUGAAUAAGGAUCGGCUAACUCCGUGCCAGCAGCCGCGGUAAUACGGAGGAUGCGAGCGUUAUCCGGAUUUAUUGGGUUUAAAGGGUGCGUAGGCGGGCUUUUAAGUCAGCGGUAAAAAUUCGGGGCUCAACCCCGUCCGGCCGUUGAAACUGGCGUUCUUGAGUGGGCGAGAAGUAUGCGGAAUGCGCGGUGUAGCGGUGAGAUGCAUAGAUAUCGCGCAGAACUCCGAUUGCGAAGGCAGCAUACCGGCGCGCAACUGACGCUCAUGCACGAAAGCGUGGGUAUCGAACAGGAUUAGAUACCCCUGUA